rnacentral:tRNA from 1 species
GGCUACCGUGGGCUAAUUUCUGCGAUUCAUAAUGCUGGGGUCCGGGGUUCAAGUCCCUGCGUAGCCACCA